CACUCCUACGGGAGGCAGCAGUGGGGAAUUUUGGACAAUGGGCGAAAGCCUGAACCAGCAAUGCCGCGUGAGUGAAGAAGGCCUUCGGGUUGUAAAGCUCUUUUGUCAGGGAAGAAACGGUGAAAGCUAAUAUCUUUUGCUAAUGACGGUACCUGAAGAAUAAGCACCGGCUAACUACGUGCCAGCAGCCGCGGUAAUACGUAGGGUGCAAGCGUUAAUCGGAAUUACUGGGCGUAAAGCGUGCGCAGGCGGUUUUGUAAGUCUGAUGUGAAAUCCCCGGGCUCAACCUGGGAAUUGCAUUGGAGACUGCAAGGCUAGAAUCUGGCAGAGGGGGGUAGAAUUCCACGUGUAGCAGUGAAAUGCGUAGAUAUGUGGAGGAACACCGAUGGCGAAGGCAGCCCCCUGGGUCAAGAUUGACGCUCAUGCACGAAAGCGUGGGGAGCAAACAGGAUUAGAAACCCGGGUAGUCCC
rnacentral:rRNA from 1 species